rnacentral:rRNA from 1 species
UGGGGAAUAUUGCACAAUGGGGGGAACCCUGAUGCAGCGACGCCGCGUGAGCGAUGAAGUAUUUCGGUAUGUAAAGCUCUAUCAGCAGGGAAGAAAAUGACGGUACCUGACUAAGAAGCCCGGCUAACUACGUGCC